ACGUAGGGGGCGAGCGUUGUCCGGAAUUACUGGGCGUAAAGCGCACGUAGGCGGGCUGUCAAGUCGGCCGUGAAAGGCACUGGCUCAACCGGUGUUUGUCGGUCGAUACUGGCGGUCUGGAGUAUGGGAGAGGGAACUGGAAUUUCUGGUGUAGCGGUGAAAUGCGUAGAUAUCGGGAGGAACACCAAUUGCGAAGGCAGGUUCCUGGCCCAUUACUGACGCUGAGGUGCGAAAGCCUGGGGAGCGAACGG
rnacentral:rRNA from 1 species